GGAUGUGGCUCAGGUGGUAGACCGCUCGUCUAGCGUGCAUGAGGCCCUGGGUUCAAUCCUCAGCACCA
rnacentral:tRNA from 1 species